ACCAUUUGAAUCAGGUAUAUGCGCGUGAAAUAAUAUAUAUUUAUUUAUUUCCAACACCACUAUACCUGUUCAGUAGAGUUACUCCCCUUUCCGCGGAAUUAUUACAUUGUUGUUACGGUGAAUUCGGGAGCGAUCUUUUGAGCAGUUUUACGGAUAUCGGUACGAUAAACACAGUAUUUGUUUGGCAGGAAGAGAAAUCGUCUCAUCUGGUAUCGAUGCAGAGAACAUGACUGACAAAGAUCUAUUUGACAGUGAUUAUGAUGGAAGUUCACAAAUACAUGAGCACAGUUACAUUGUGAUAUCGGAUUCUGAGGAGACACAACCACCUUCACCUUUUGGUUGACAGGAAUAUUCCAGUAAAAGACCAGUUGUUCAACAGCCUUUUUUUACAAACAAAUUCCUGGUGCUGCCAUUCCUAAUCAACCGACAUAUCAUAAUUCUGGAUAAGAAUUCAGAUUACUGGCUGCAUAUUCAACCGAAUUUUUGGGUCCUGCGUUGGUGGGGGGUAACGUGUUUCAGACCAGAAUCCUGCCGGACCAUCCAAUUGCAAGGACAUCUAACAUAGCUGAAAUGUAUCUGUAAUGAAUUAUUAAAAGUUUGGAUAAAAAAUGUGUUCUAUAAUCAUUAU